rnacentral:rRNA from 1 species
GACGAACCGGUGCGAACGUUGUUCGGAAUCACUGGGCUUAAAAGGGCGCGUAGGCGGCAGAUCAAGUCCGGGGUGAAAUCCUCCAGCUCAACUGGAGAAGUGCCUUGGAUACUGAUUUGCUCGAGGGAGGUAGGGGUCGAGGGAACUUCUGGUGGAGCGGUGGAAAUGCGUUGAUAUCAGAAGGAACGCCGGUGGCGAAAGGCG